rnacentral:rRNA from 1 species
GAAAGAGGGGGACCUUCGGGCCUCUCGCUAUUGGAUGAGCCUGCGUCGGAUUAGCUUGUUGGUAGGGUAAUGGCCUACCAAGGCGACGAUCCGUAGCUGGUCUGAGAGGACGAUCAGCCACACUGGGACUGANACACGGCCCAGACUCCUACGGGAGGCAGCAGUGGGGAAUAUUGGACAAUGGGCGAAAGCCUGAUCCAGCAAUACCGCGUGUGUGAAGAAGGCCUACGGGUUGUAAAGCACUUUCAGUAGGGAAGAAAUGCUCAAGGCUAAUACCCUUGAGAGCUGACAUUACCUACAGAAGAAGCACCGGCUAACUCUGUGCCAGCAGCCGCGGUAAUACAGAGGGUGCAAGCGUUAAUCGGAGUUACUGGGCGUAAAGCGUGCGUAGGCGGAUAUUUAAGUCGGAUGUGAAAGCCCCGGGCUCAACCUGGGAACUGCAUUCGAUACUGGAUGUCUGGAGUAUGGUAGAGGAAAGUGGAAUUUCCGGUGUAGCGGUGAAAUGCGUAGAUAUCGGAAGGAACACCAGUGGCGAAGGCGACUUUCUGGACCAAUACUGACGCUGAGGUACGAAAGCGUGGGGAGCAACAGGAUUAGAGACCCUGG